CGGGCUCCGUGAAUAUAAGGGAAGUAAGACCCUGUCUCUGUCCUAAAUGAGCUCGCUAUUCUGGAAAAGACAGAUGGGAAACAGGAAACCGUCAGGUCAUGCUCUGAUAAAUGCCAUGCUCGAGACACCAGUGGGGAUGAGAGGCAUCUAAUCUGUCCUGAGGAGAGUCAUCAAGCAAGCUUUAGUAUAAUCUUUCUCUCCAUCUGGAAAGUGGGAAUAGACCAACUAUAUUUCAAGUUUGCUAACAAAGAU